CCAGCAGCCGCGGUAAUUCCGGCUCUAAUAGCAUAUAUUAAAGUUGUUGCAGUUAAAAAGCUCGUAGUCGAAUUUCGGGCUCGUGUGGGCGGUCGGCUUAGGUCGAAUUGCCUGUGCGGGCCUUUCUGCUUGGGAGUCCUGGUAGGUUAACCCCUAUCUGUGAGUCACAGGCCGUUUACUUUGAAAAAAUUAGAGUGUUUAAAGCAGGCUUAUGCCGUUGAAUAUAUUAGCAUGGAAUAAUAAGAUAGGACUUUGGUACUAUUUUGUUGGUUUGUGCACCAGAGUAAUGAUUAAUAGGGACAGUUGGGGCUAUUCGUAUUCCAUUGCCAGAGGUGAAAUUCUUGGAUUUCUGGAAGACGAACUACUGCGAAAGCAUCUAGCAAGGAUGUUUUCAUUAAUCAAGAACGAAAGU
rnacentral:rRNA from 1 species